GCUGCCCCUCCCUUGGCCUAGUUCAUUCUGGAAACCCUCGCCGCCACCCGGUUUGGGAGAAAACGCCGAUAGCGACGACUGCAUCGGGUGCUUGCGGCGGCGCUAGUUCUUCGCCGUCGACAAGCAGGGGAUGGAAGCUACGGUUCCCAUUGAGAGGAGUUCGAUGAAAGCCUUGAACAGCCAGAUCCGUUUCCCCUCCUUGUCCUGCUAGAGAACGGGGCCAGAAAUUCGGACACUGGUGAUUCAAAUGUUGGGCCUGGGAUCGCUCAGAAGGUGGGAGACGAUGCCACAGGUGGAGCGGGUGAAGGUUUGCGCCGUCGGCGUGAUGCAUCUCCGACGAGGUCGGCCCAGUUGACCGACAAAGCAAAUCCAGAGGCCCCUGACUGGUCUAAAAGGCUUCGUCUAGACAGUGCGCCACCAAACAGAGCAAUCAUGUCCCUCCCGGUUGAUCGCUCUGGAGCAGUCAAUCCACAAGUAUGUACAGCAAACUGACAAGAGUGUAAUACGGCCUGACAAAGGUUGUGAACCAUGGGAGAGAAGGUGCACUGGCCUUCUCAUUAGCACAUUGACGUUUACACCAAGGAUUUGUUAAAGCAGCAGAGAGAAAACAUUGUGAACCUGGGGGAAGUCUAUAUGAUAAUUGGUAGCUUUUUUGGUUGCGUUGAGAAGGUGCCAUUCAUGAAAAGGACUCUUAGUAAUAUUUGUGGAAAGAUUAGUCGUGAACAAGCUGUAGAUGAUGUAAGGAAGACGCUGGAGGUGUUUGCUGACAUCCGUUCUACUGACCCUGGCUUCACCUAUGUGGUUUUGACUGACAAGUCCAUCAAGGUUAAAAGUCUCAUGUGGGCUAAUGGGAGCAGCAGAAUGCAAUACAAGUUAUUUGGUGAUGUGGUCACAUUCGACACUACAUACAGGAUAAACCUUU